UACACUCCUACGGGAGGCAGCAGUGGGGAAUUUUGGACAAUGGGCGAAAGCCUGAUCCAGCAAUGCCGCGUGUGUGAAGAAGGCCUUCGGGUUGUAAAGCACUUUUGUCCGGAAAGAAAUCCUUGGCUCUAAUACAGUCGGGGGAUGACGGUACCGGAAGAAUAAGCACCGGCUAACUACGUGCCAGCAGCCGCGGUAAUACGUAGGGUGCGAGCGUUAAUCGGAAUUACUGGGCGUAAAGCGUGCGCAGGCGGUUUGCUAAGACCGAUGUGAAAUCCCCGGGCUCAACCUGGGAACUGCAUUGGUGACUGGCAGGCUAGAGUAUGGCAGAGGGGGGUAGAAUUCCACGUGUAGCAGUGAAAUGCGUAGAGAUGUGGAGGAAUACCGAUGGCGAAGGCAGCCCCCUGGGCCAAUACUGACGCUCAUGCACGAAAGCGUGGGGAGCAAACAGGAUUAGAUACCCCGGUAGUCCCAUGAU
rnacentral:rRNA from 1 species